AUUGAACGAGGGAGGAAGGAGGAACACAAGCAAGUCGAGCGGAAGAACGGGGCUUUCUCCUGGAUUCCGCGUGGGACGGGGGCGUGAAGCACAUGAAUCUGCCUCCCAGUGGGGGGUAACGUCCGGAAACGGGCGCUAAUACCACAUACGUCCUGAGCGUGAAAGUGGGGGAUCUUUGGACCUCACGCUCUCUGAUGAGCCUAGGUCGGAUUAGCUAGUUGGUGGGGUAACGGCCUACCAAGGCGACGAUCCGUAACUGGUCUGAGAGGAUGAUCAGCCACACUGGAACUGAGACACGGUCCAGACUCCUACGGGAGGCAGCAGUGGGGAAUAUUGGACAAUGGGCGAAAGCCUGAUCCAGCCAUGCCGCGUGUGUGAAGAAGGUCUUCGGAUUGUAAAGCUCUUUUAGUCGGGAGGAAGGGCUGUACGCUAAUACGUUGCGGUUUUGACGGUACCGGAAGAAUAAGCACCGGCUAACUACGUG
rnacentral:rRNA from 1 species